GGGGACGUAGCUCAGCUGGUUAGAGCGCUACCUUGACAUGGUAGAGGUCAUAGGUUCGAGCCCUACCGCCCCCACCA
rnacentral:tRNA from 1 species